UACGUAGGGGGCAAGCGUUGUCCGGAUUUAUUGGGCGUAAAGAGCGUGUAGGCGGCCAUACAGGUCCGUUGUGAAAACUGGAGGCUUAACCUCCAGACGUCGAUGGAAACCGUAUGGCUAGAGUCCGGAAGAGGAGAGUGGAAUUCCUGGUGUAGCGGUGAAAUGCGCAGAUAUCAGGAAGAACACCCGUGGCGAAGGCGGUUCUCUGGGACGGUACUGACGCUGAGACGCGAAAGCGUGGGGAGCGAACAGG
rnacentral:rRNA from 1 species